rnacentral:rRNA from 1 species
AUGGGACUCCUCUCCUUCCUUUCUCCCAGCGCAGGACUCCUCCAUCUAAAAAAAGCACGGGACUCCUCUCUCCUGAUUCGUGUACAAAUCUGCCUCUGCCUGCAUGGCAGCAUUGAUGGUGGGCGGCGAAGAAAGGAUCGAUCAUCUGCAGUAACCACGCCGGCGUUCCCACCUCCCAAACCCUCCUCACGUUCUCAUGUCGCGCACGUCACACUUCAACUGCCUCAGCGGGAUUCCCUGCAGCAGCAAUGCGAGGCUGGAUGGCCUCCAGUGCCAGCGCGCCUUCAUAUCCAUCAAGUCCUCGGACUAUCCCUGCAAGCAAGGCUGCUGGCACAUGGUUUCCGAUGCAAUUUUUUGAAACUACAGACUGAGAGUGGUUUGAUUAAUCUGGUAUUAAUUUGA